rnacentral:rRNA from 1 species
GUCGAACGAACCUUCGGGUCAGUGGCGGACGGGUGAGUAACGCGUGGGAAUCUGCCCUCAGGAGGGGGAUAACGGUUGGAAACGACCGCUAAUACCCCAUAUGCCGAAAGGUGAAAUGAAUUUCGCCUGAGGAUGAGCCCGCGUCUGAUUAGCUAGUUGGUAAGGUAAUGGCUUACCAAGGCUUCGAUCAGUAGCUGGUCUGAGAGGAUGAUCAGCCACACUGGGACUGAGACACGGCCCAGACUCCCACGGGAGGCAGCAGUGGGGAAUUUUCCGCAAUGGGCGCAAGCCUGACGGAGCAACGCCGCGUGAGGGACGAAGGCCUCUGGGCUGUAAACCUCUUUUCUCAAGGAAGAAGAUAUGACGGUACUUGAGGAAUAAGCCACGGCUAAUUCCGUGCCAGCAGCCGCGGUAAUACGGGAGUGGCAAGCGCUAUCCGGAAUUAUUGGGCGUAAAGCGUCCGCAGGCGGUCUUACAAGUCUGCUGUUAAAGCGUGGAGCUUAACUCCAUUAUGGCAGUGGAAACUGUAAGGCUUGAGUAUG